UACAGAGGUCCCGAGCGUUGUUCGGAUUCAUUGGGCGUAAAGGGUGCGUAGGUGGCUUGGUCAGUCGGAUGUGAAAUCCCGGGGCUCAACCCCGGAACUGCAUUCGAUACUGCCAGGCUGGAGUACUGGAGAGGAGAUUGGAAUUUACGGUGUAGCAGUGAAAUGCGUAGAUAUCGUAAGGAAGACCAGUGGCGAAGGCGGAUCUCUGGACAGUUACUGACACUGAGGCACGAAGGCCAGGGGAGCAAACGGG
rnacentral:rRNA from 1 species